rnacentral:misc_RNA from 1 species
GCGAGUAUGGCCCUCACGGGUCUAAUCCACCAUAAACACCUUUGUGAACCAGUCAGGGGGACUCGGCCGUGAAAGCCCAGGCGAUUAGCGGAAUGGCCCUCCUUUGCAAACCCGUUUAGAAGUCUUGAAAGUACUUUUGUAUAAUCUAUUA